AUGCUAAUGCUGUCCUUAACAAGAGGUGAGAUGAAACUAGAUGGUACAGAUAUUGCUGACAGAUUGACAGGGCAAGAGGAUUAUCUAUUGAAUUGACAAGCAUGUACAAAGGUGGACAGCUGCUUUCAAAGAGGACUUUUGCAUUCUUGGUAGUUUUGCUGCAAUGGAUACAUCCAUAUGUCGAUUAAGUCAGUUCUCGGAUGCUACAGAUUAGGCCCUGGAAAUUUUACGUUGCUAAAACAAAGAAAAUGUGGGCUGAUAUGAUAUUCUCCUGUGGAGGAAGGGAUCUGGUGCUGACACUAAUAUGGGGUAUAGAUUCUAUAUGUCUUUGUUUUGAAUAACUUACCAUUUAUUCUAUAUAUAAACUUUGUAAGGUGGAUUCUAAUUAACAAGCUUGUCAUGCAAGUGUGAAAAACUAUGGAGGGUAGUUUUGAGAGGUCCUAUGUGUAUGUAUUCCUUUCCAGUUCUAUUGCUGCAAAGACACACUUUAAUCAUAUACUACCAAUCUAGAUGCAUGUAUAACAAGU